rnacentral:rRNA from 1 species
AUUGAACGCUGGCGGCAGGCCUAACACAUGCAAAUCGAGCGGAUGAAGGGAGCUUGCUCCUGGAUUCAGCGGCGGACGGGUGAGUAAUGCCUAGGAAUCUGCCUGGUAGUGGGGGAUAACGUCCGGAAACGGGCGCUAAUACCGCAUACGUCCUGAGGGAGAAAGUGGGGGAUCUUCGGACCUCACGCUAUCAGAUGAGCCUAGGUCGGAUUAGCUAGUUGGUGGGGUAAAGGCCUACCAAGGCGACGAUCCGUAACUGGUCUGAGAGGAUGAUCAGUCACACUGGAACUGAGACACGGUCCAGACUCCUACGGGAGGCAGCAGUGGGGAAUAUUGGACAAAGGGCGAAAGCCUGAUCCAGCCAUGCCGCGUGUGUGAAGAAGGUCUUCGGAUUGUAAAGCACUUUAAGUUGGGAGGAAGGGCAGUAAGUUAAUACCUUGCUGUUUUGACGUUACCAACAGAAUAAGCACCGGCUAACUUCGUG